rnacentral:rRNA from 1 species
GUUAUUUAGGGCGCAUGGUGGAUGCCUUGGCAUGCUGAGCCGAUGAAGGACGUGAAAGGCUGCGUUAAGCCUCGGGGAGUUGUCAAUUGAGCGUUGAUCCGAGGAUGUCCGAAUGGGGAAACCUGGCACCUGUUAUGGGGUGUUACCCUUCAGUGAAUUCAUAGCUGUUGUGGGGGUUACGCGGGGAAGUGAAACAUCUCAGUACCCGUAGGAAGAGAAAAUAAUAAUGAUUCUGCUAGUAGUGGCGAACGAACGUGGAUGAGGCUAAACCGUGUGCAUGUGAUACCUGGUAGGGGUUGUGUGUGCGGUGUUGUGGGCCCUGAUGAGGAUGGCUACUGACGUCCUGCCCGCGCAUUGUUGUUAGGUGAAGUGGUGUGGAAACGCCUGCCGUAGAAGGUGAUAGUCCUGUAGCUGAAGAUGAUGGUGUGUGGGUUGUUGGGUUGCCCGAGUAGCAGCGGGCUCGUGGAAUCUGCUGUGAAUCUGCCGGGACCACCCGGUAAGCCUAAAUACUCAGUGUGACCGAUAGUGGAUAGUACCGUGAGGGAAUGGUGAAAAGUACCCCGGGAGGGGAGUGAAAUAGUUCCUGAAACCAUGUGCUUACAAUCCGUCAGAGCACUUUUUGUGUGUGAUGGCGUGCCUUUUGAAGAAUGAGCCUGCGAGUCAGCGGCAUGUCGCGAGGUUAACCCGUGUGGGGUAGCCGUAGGGAAACCGAAUCCUAAUGGGGUGUUUUAGUGGCAUGUCCUGGACCCGAAGCGGGGUGAUCUACCCAUGGCCAGUGUGAAGCAGCAGUAAGAUGCUGUGGAGGCGCGAACCCACGUAGGUUGAAAACUGCGGGGAUGAGCUGUGGGUAGGGGUGAAAGGCCAAUCAAACUCCGUGAUAGCUGGUUCUCCCCGAAAUGCAUUUAGGUGCAGCGUCGCAUUAGCUUGGUGGAGGUAGAGCUACUGGUUGGUUGAGCGGGACUACAAUCUUAGCAAUGUCAGCCAAACUCCGAAUGCCAUUAAUGUGUUGUGCGGCAGUGAGACUGUGGGGGAUAAGCUUCAUAGUCGAGAGGGAAACAGCCCAGAUCGCCGGUUAAGGCCCCUAAGGGUGUGCUAAGUGGAAAAGGAUGUGGGAUCGCGAAGACAGCCAGGAGGUUGGCUUAGAAGCAGCCAUCCUUGAAAGAGUGCGUAAUAGCUCACUGGUCGAGUGGUUCUGCGCCGACAAUGUAGUGGGGCUCAAGCACACCGCCGAAGCCGCGGCAAUAAUAUUUUGUUAUUGGGUAGGGGAGCGUCGUGCACGUGUUGAAGCGUUACCGUGAGGAGGCGUGGAGUGUGUGCGAGUGAGAAUGCAGGCAUGAGUAACGAAUUGGAAGGUGAGAAUCCUUCCCGCCGGAUGACUAAGGGUUCCUGGGUCAAGUUCGUCUUCCCAGGGUGAGUCGGGACCUAAGGCGAGGCCGACAGGCGUAGUCGAUGGAUAACCAGUUGAUAUUCUGGUACCCGAGUAUAUGCGCCCCUGAUA